rnacentral:lncRNA from 1 species
GGUUUGACAUUCCCGAAGAUUGUAAGGUUGUUAUGUUCGAAUCAAAUUGAAGGGGCAUGCGAGGGCUUGGUGGAAUAGUGUGGAAGAGCAACUAAGGCGCACUCACCGUUCUCCAAUUCAACAUUGGGACGAGAUGAAGGAGAGGUUGCGAGACAAGUACUUGCCCUUAGAGUAUGAGCAGAUUAUGUAUGAGGAUAUGUGGCAUUUUCGGCAAGGUACCUUGACGGUGGCGGAGUAUACUGAGCGAUUCCAUGAGCUUAGUGUUCGAAGUCGUAUUGUUGAGCACGAACAACAGACAUUGUCUCGUUAUCGUUUGGGGUUGCGUAGUGAAUUGCAGAAAGAAAUGUUGACAGCCCGUUUAAUUAAUGUUGAGGAAGCAUAUCAAAUGGCUCUACGUUUAGAACGCCGCAAUGGCCAAUCCUGUGGGCGACGUGUCAUGGCAACAGAUUCCACUUCUACUCGUACAUUUGCUGGCAAUGGUCGGUCACCAACAGAAACUGGUAAUGUUUAUUCCAACGGUGGAGAUGUGAGGGGCAAGACCUCUUGGGGAGGCAGUGGACCGCAAUGUUUUAAAUGUAAGGAGUUUGGGCAUUAUGCUGUAGUAUGUCCUACGCGCGAUAAGAAAUUAGCCUAUGUUUGCGAAAAAGAUUUAUUAGUAGUUGAAUCUGACGGGGGUACGGAAGAAGUAGUUGUCAAGGAUGCAACAAACGAUGAAGGGGAAGAACAUUUGGAUGCAACGACAUUACCUAGUUGUGUCAUACACCGGGUGUUAACUGGUAAUAAGCAAGAAGAAGCUAUGGAGACUGAUUGGCGCCGCACUAAUAUUUUUCACACUCGAUUUGAGCAUGAUGGCAAGGCAUUGUGUUGCGGAAGCUCUCUCAAAAGGAUCUUCAAACGGUGAUUUUCCAGGCUCAGUCCAACGUACCUUUCUCUACCAACAACCAAUCCAAACGGCUCCAAACCACAACCAAUUGAUUCACCUUGGUUGCUAUUCAAUCUUACCCACGUAGGACAAGAAAGGAUGAUGAUUUAUGGCCACAAAGGCUAGGAGAAGACACCACAAAGGUAUACUAUGAAAGAACUAUCAAUUGCACACGUUAUUCAAGCGUUUUGAACAAUUCUGGACACCUUUUUCUCACACAAAAGGGCGGCAGCCGGGAUUCACUAGUUUCUUCUCUCAAAAUCACACAAUCAUCAUCACAAAGAGGCUUGGGUUAUAUUCAUAUAUAUACUUUAGGGUUAGGCUUUAAGUUGGGCCAUUAAAGGGGUAAACGGGCCAAGAUUCAAGCCAUCCAUAAGUAAUACAAUUGGGCCGGGUGUAGCUCAUGGAUUUGGUUGUUGGACUUAUUUCAUUCAUCGGCCUAUGCCUAUGAAAUAAUAUUAACCCACGUUAACAUCAUAGCCCGGGAUUUAUUGGGUAUCAAAAACCCAACACAUUGAAUGUUAUUAUAGACAAUGGC